rnacentral:rRNA from 1 species
CAGUAGCCGCGGGAAUACGGAGGGGGCUAGCGUUGUUCGGAAUUACUGGGCGUAAAGCACACGUAGGCGGCUUUGUAAGUUAGAGGUGAAAGCCCGGGGCUCAACCCCGGAAUUGCCUUUAAGACUGCAGAGCUAGCAGGUGAGAGAGGUGAGUGGAAUUCCGAGUGUAGAGGUGAAAUUCGUAGAUAUUCGGAAGAACACCAGUGGCGAAGGCGGCUCACUGGUCCAUUACUGACGCUGAGGUGCGAAAGCGUGGGGAGCAAACAGGAUUAGAUACCCCUGUAGUCCCUGUCUCUUAUAC